UACGUAGGGCGCAAGCGUUGUCCGGAAUUAUUGGGCGUAAAGAGCUCGUAGGCGGUUUGUCGCGUCUGCUGUGAAAAUCUAAGGCUCAACCUUGGGCUUGCAGUGGGUACGGGCAGACUAGAGUGCGGUAGGGGUGACUGGAAUUCCUGGUGUAGCGGUGGAAUGCGCAGAUAUCAGGAGGAACACCGAUGGCGAAGGCAGGUCUCUGGGCCACUACUGACGCUGAGAAGCGAAAGCAUGGGGAGCGAACAGGG
rnacentral:rRNA from 1 species